rnacentral:rRNA from 1 species
CCUACGGGGGGCAGCAGUGAGGAAUAUUGGUCAAUGCGCGUAAGCCUGAACCAGCCAAGUCGCGUGAGGGAUGAAGGUUCUAUGGAUCGUAAACCUCUUUUAUAAGGGAAUAAAGUGCGGGACGUGUCCCGUUUUGUAUGUACCUUAUGAAUAAGGAUCGGCUAACUCCGUGCCAGCAGCCGCGGUAAUACGGAGGAUCCGAGCGUUAUCCGGAUUUAUGGGGUUUAAGGGGUGCGUAGGCGGCCUUGUAAGUGAGCAGUGAAAGUCUGUGGCUCAACCAUAGAAUUGCGGUUGAAAUGGGGAGGCUGGAGUAUGUGUGAGGCAGGCGGAAUGCGUGGUGUAGCGGUGAAAUGCUUAGAUAUCACGAAGAACCCCGAUGGCGAAGGCAGCCUGCCAAGCCAUGACUGACGCUGAUGCACGAAAGCGUGGGGAUCAAACAGGAUUAGAUACCCGGGUAGUC